AUACGGAGGGGGUUAGCGUUGUUCGGAAUUACGGGGCGUAAAGCGCACGUAGGCGGAUUGGAAAGUUGGGGGUGAAAUCCCAGAGCUCAACCCUGGAACUGCCUCCAAAACUAACAGUCUAGAGUUCGAGAGAGGUGAGUGGAAUUCCAAGUGUAGAGGUGAAAUUCGUAGAUAUUUGGAGGAACACCAGUGGCGAAGGCGGCUCACUGGCUCGAUACUGACGCUGAGGUGCGAAAGCGUGGGGAGCAAACAGGAUUAGAUACCCCAGUAGUCC
rnacentral:rRNA from 1 species